rnacentral:rRNA from 1 species
UUGACAUCCAGCGAACUUUCCAGAGAUGGAUUGGUGCCUUCGGGAACGCUGAGACAGUGCUGCAUGGCUGUCGUCAGCUCGUGUUGUGAAAUGUUGGGUUAAGUCCCGCAACGAGCGCAACCCUUUAUCCUUUGUUGCCAGCGAUUCGGUCGGGAACUCAAAGGAGACUGCCGGUGAUAAACCGGAGGAAGGUGGGGAUGACGUCAAGUCAUCAUGGCCCUUACGAGUAGGGCUACACACGUGCUACAAUGGCGCAUACAAAGAGAAGCGACCUCGCGAGAGCAAGCGGACCUCAUAAAGUGCGUCGUAGUCCGGAUCGGAGUCUGCAACUCGACUCCGUGAAGUCGGAAUCGCUAGUAAUCGUGGAUCAGAAUGCCACGGUGAAUACGUUCCCGGGCCUUGUACACACCGCCCGUCACACCAUGGGAGUGGGUUGCAAAAGAAGUAGGUAGCUUAACCUUCGGGAGGGCGCUUACCACUUUGUGAUUCAUGACUGGGGUGAAGUCGUAACAAGGUAGGCGUAGCGAG